UUUCUUAUUCUUUCUUUUUCUUCUGUUCUGGCGAUUCUGAAAGUUGUGAGAGAUGAUUCCGAAGCCGUGAAAUUGAAAGGAAACUUAGGGGAAACUUUAAGAGUUGAUUGUUGGUGAUGGUGUUGAUGAAUUCAGAAUUCUCAGAAAAGGUGAUGCAAUCAAGUGUGAUUUAGGGGUUUAAUGAAUUUACUCUUACAGCAACACAUACUUCAGUGCUUGAUCCAGGAGUUUUUUUUUGGCAGACAGUCACUAUGAAGGCGACCUUUUCUUCUACUUCUUCAAAGAGAUCCAUAGAUGAUUAGGUUUUUGUACUUUUGGUGAAUCGUUCGGUGAAGGAAUAGAUUUAGUGAAAUCACUGAAAUGGGUUCAUAUUGCACCAGAAAGAGGAUAUACACCAGAGCAAAUAUUGGAUUCAAGGUUGAGUACCAUUUCAUUUGCUUGGACGAAACAAAUGCCUGCUUUGCACUGAUACAACACCGGCUAAACGGCUGAAAAUGAAGAAAAUUGUGGAACUUCUUCAAGAAGUAAACUAUACCCGAUAUGGUCGGGUAUAGUUUACCAGAAAAAGGAAAGGAAACUAUGCCGGAUGGUCUGGAGAAGAAAAAGGAAAGUAAACAUGUAGUGAAAUACAGCACAGAAAAUUACAAGCAAUUUGAAAACUUGAAACUGUACAACCACAUGAAAAAUGGGGAUAGAGAGGCUUUACAAUCGUACUUUAAGCGGACGACCCCUUCGGAUUUUGCUUGGAGAUUGAUUAUUGACCAUGAUGGGGGAGUAUCAUUCUCCGUUACUGGAAUGCCCUUGAGGGCGAGUUACUGGAAUACUACAGUACAAGCUUGAUUUGAAGCAAAAACAAGCAGAAUCUCAAAUGCAGGAUAGCCAAGCUCCAGAAAAAUAUGCAAAAUCUGUUUUCAUGAAGCCGGGAGCACUAGAACUACUGCAAUCAAAUGAUGAAGAUGGUGUUAAUGAAUAUAUCCGCGACUUCAUCCUACGUAUCCCAGACGAUGUGACAGAACUGUUCAUCCCAAUAUUUACAAGAUCACGCUUCUCCACUUCAAUUUCUCUGAUCACCGUUGGAAGCACUACAACUCCUUGUCGAAUAUUAAACACCAAAAAGGCAUGCAAGACUACUGCGGAACUCAUGAUGGAUGCUUGUAAUCUUCCUAUUAGGCAAAGAAAUAUGAAUCAUCGAGCUGUCAUCUCGCCAGAGAUCGACCAAAUUGUGGACACACCUUUUUCUGAACCUGUUUGUACUCAACAGAAGAAGUCUGAUUGUCUUCUUUUUGUAUGCUACUUUAUGAAACGUAUCAUGAGAGGAGAAGAUAGACUCCCACGAGAAGCGAAGUGCUGCAGAAAAUUAAAGAAAAGCGGAUCAAGAUGGCAGUUAAACUAGUGACUGAUAAGGAUCAUAGCAAUCAUACUUAGGAUUGUGGUUUUCCUUUGACUGACAGCACGGUUAAAAUAAAGUUUUAGACUUUUUUUUUUUUGGAAUAAUUAAGAUACUUGAAAGAACCUCAAAUGUUGCAGA